GCUCCCGUAGCUCAGCUGGUUUAGAGCGCCGUGCUUAUAGGAUAUAAACUAUACCAAAGUCACGCGGAUGUCGCGAGUUCGAUCCUCGCCGGGAGCA